UGGGGAAUUUUGGACAAUGGGGGAAACCCUGAUCCAGCAACGCUGCGUGGAGGAUGAAGGCCUAUUGGUCGUAAACUCCUUUUGCAGGGGACGAACGUGCGGAGCAAUCCGUACCUGACGGUACUCUGCGAAUAAGCCACGGCUAACUAUGUGCCAGCAGCCGCGGUAAGACAUAGGUGGCAAGCGUUACUCGGAAUUACUAGGCGUAAAGCGCGUGUAGGCGGAUGCUUAAGUCUGUUGUUUAAUCUCCCGGCUCAACCGGGAAAAGUCAGCGGAUACUGAGCAUCUGGAGUGGGACAGAGGAAGCUGGAAUUCCCGGUGUAGCGGUGAAAUGCGUAGAUAUCGGGAAGAACACCGGCGGCGAAGGCGGGCUUCUGGGUCCUCACUGACGCUGAGACGCGAAAGCUAGGGGAGCAAACAGG
rnacentral:rRNA from 1 species